rnacentral:piRNA from 1 species
UGGAAUGAGAGCCCUCGGUGUCAAUAGUC